rnacentral:rRNA from 1 species
AUUGAACGCUGGCGGCGGGCCUAACACAUGCAAGUCGAGCGGGGUUUUCGGACCUAGCGGCGGACGGGUGAGUAAUGCGUAGGAAGCUGCCCGAUAGAGGGGGAUACCAGUUGGAAACGACUGUUAAUACCGCAUAAUGUCUAAGGACCAAAGUGUGGGACAUCGGGCCACAUGCUAUCGGAUGCGACUACGUGGGAUUAGCUAGUUGGUGAGGUAAUGGCUCGCCAAGGCGACGAUCUCUAGCUGGUUUGAGAGGAUGAUACAGCCACACUGGAACUGAGACACGGUCCAGACUCCUACGGGAGGCAGCAGUGGGGAAUAUUGGACAAUGGGCGCAAGCCUGAUCCAGCCAUGCCGCGUGUGUGAAGAAGGCCUUCGGGUUGUAAAGCACUUUCGGCGAGGAGGAAGGGUGGUGUGUUAAUAGCACAUCAUUUUGACGUUACUCGCAGAAGAAGCACCGGCUAACUCUGUGCCAGCAGCCGCCGUAAGAC